CCUACGGGUGGCAGCAGUGAGGAAUAUUGGUCAAUGGACGAGAGUCUGAACCAGCCAAGUAGCGUGAAGGAUGACUGCCCUAUGGGUUGUAAACUUCUUUUAUAUGGGAAUAAAACAGGGUAUGCAUACCCUCUUGUAUGUACCAUAUGAAUAAGGAUCGGCUAACUCCGUGCCAGCAGCCGCGGUAAUACGGAGGAUACGAGCGUUAUCCGGAUUUAUUGGGUUUAAAGGGAGCGUAGGUGGUUUGUUAAGUCAGUUGUGAAAGUUUGCGGCUCAACCGUAAAAUUGCAGUUGAAACUGGCAGUCUUGAGUACAGUAGGGGUAGGCGGAAUUCGUGGUGUAGCGGUGAAAUGCUUAGAUAUCACGAAGAACUCCGGUUGCGAAGGCAGCUUACUGGACUGCAACUGACGCUGAUGCUCGAAAGUGUGGGGAGCAAACAGGAUUAGAUACCCUAGUAGUC
rnacentral:rRNA from 1 species